rnacentral:other from 1 species
GCGGGUCUGUUCUUCUCGUCAGGGGCCCUAUUCCGGUGGCCUUAAGCAACACCGAGGGAGCUGGCUCUGCCCGGGUCCUGGCCCGGCUACCUGGCGCCCACCUGUAUUAACAGGUCCUCGGGAAUUGCACGCCCCGACGGUCGCUACGGUCCCCGC